CUGAACAUCAGCAGCACUCAACCAAGACAUGAUUCCCAGCAGGACACAGCACUUAAAGAAGGUGCAUCCCAAGAUUCUUUAAAAAGGUCCAAAGGAAAGCAAGCUGGGAAGGCGAGAACCAAGUGGACAAGUGAUGAAGUAAAAGCAAUUGAGCGGCACAUGUUAGAUUUUAUAACAAGCUGCAAAGUACCAGGUAAAACGGCAUGUGAGUCCUGCCUCAAAGCAGAGGCGGUCGCUCUGAAGGACAGAGACUGGGCUGCCAUCAAAUUCUACAUUCACAACAGAAUCACUUCAUUAAAAAGACAGAUGAA